UACGUAGGGUGCAAGCGUUAAUCGGAAUUACUGGGCGUAAAGCGUGCGCAGGCGGUUUUGUAAGUCUGUCGUGAAAUCCCCGGGCUCAACCUGGGAAUUGCGAUGGAGACUGCAAGGCUAGAAUCUGGCAGAGGGGGGUAGAAUUCCACGUGUAGCAGUGAAAUGCGUAGAGAUGUGGAGGAACACCGAUGGCGAAGGCAGCCCCCUGGGUCAACACUGACGCUCAUGCACGAAAGCGUGGGGAGCAAACAGG
rnacentral:rRNA from 1 species